rnacentral:rRNA from 1 species
UGCCAGCCGCCGCGGUAACACGGGGGGCGCAAGCGUUAUUUGGAAUUAUUGGGCGUAAAGGGCGCGCAGGCGGUCUUGUCCGUCAGGUGUGAAAGCUCGGGGCUCAACCCCGGAACUGCCUCUAAUACUGCUAGUCUUGAGUUCGAGAGAGGUGAGUGGAAUUCCGAGUGUAGAGGUGAAAUUCGUAGAUAUCAGGAGGAACACCGAUGGCGAAGGCAUCUCUCUGGGCCGAUAUUGACGCUGAGGCGCGAAGGCGUGGGUAGCGAACGGGAUUAGAUA